rnacentral:rRNA from 1 species
UACAGAGGUCCCAAGCGUUGUUCGGAUUCACUGGGCGUAAAGGGUGCGUAGGUGGCCGGGAAAGUUCGAUGUGAAAGCUCGGAGCUCAACUCCGAAAUGGCAUUGAAUACUAUUCGGCUUGAGGGUCGGAGGGGAGACUGGAAUUCUCGGUGUAGCAGUGAAAUGCGUAGAUAUCGAGAGGAACACCAGUGGCGAAGGCGAGUCUCUGGGCUGACACUGACGCUCAUGCACGAAAGCGUGGGGAGCAAACAGG